UACAUGUGGGGCAAGCGUUGUUCGGAAUUACUGGGCAUAAAGGGCGCGUAGGCGGUUUGCCAAGUCAGGGGUGAAAUCCUGCAGCUCAACUGUAGAAGUGCCUUUGAUACUGGCGAACUCGAGGGAGGUAGGGGUGGGUGGAACUUCUGGUGGAGCGGUGAAAUGCGUUGAUAUCAGAAGGAACGCCGGUGGCGAAAGCGACCCACUGGAUCUCUACUGACGCUGAGGCGCGAAAGCUAGGGGAGCAAACGGG
rnacentral:rRNA from 1 species